AAUAGCAAUGAAAUAUGACAACCUAAAAGCUGCUCCCGUGUUAAAAAAAAAAAAAAGCAUCCCUAUAGCACCAGGCCUCCCAAAGCCAUAGCAACGCAGAUGGAGGCUGCAAGAGAAGAGAAAAAAUUGGAUCAUCAUACUGUAAAAAUGUUAGAAAAGCAACAACAAAUUUAUGGUAAUUAUUAAAUAUUAUUGUAUGAUUUAAAAGUUAACAAGUAGAAGGAAAAAGCAGUCCCUCUAAAGAACAAAGAUACCUUUGGUAUAAUGGAAAUGUCAGGAUUGUAAGGUUUUAGGACCAGAAUCAGUGUAACAGUGUCCCCUAAACUUGCUGGAGAAUAAUAUUAAAUUAACCUGUCUUUUCUCAUUGCAAACCAAAAUUUGUUACUUCUAGCCAAAGACAAAACCCUGGAAUCUUUGAUCUAAAAAGACAAGAGACCAACUGUAGCCCCUACAGGUAACGAUAUGGGUUGUUAACAGGUUCAUUUCCAGGCAGCAGAGAGGCCUGUACCAUAUGGGUCCCCUUUCCUGAGGCUCUUGCAGCCUCGUGUCCCCACCAGGAGCAGGCUGUCACAUAAAGAAAACACGACUGGCUCCCCCCGGACACAAAGCUGGAUCCUCAGGGCAGUGGCUGUACUGAGGUCGGGCCUUGGUGCUGCCCUUCCUGGGGUCUGCCCAGAGAGGCCUGCAGGAGAGCAUCGGGCCUGGGUGCUGGCCUGAGGCGGGGAGGGUCUGGGAGUUACAGACAAACAAAAAGGGGCCAAGUCCUGAAUAGACGCUGAGCUUACAGCCUGACCUUGGGCAAGGAGAUGGGUGUUACUGAAACUGAGACCUUGUGAGACAAAUACAGCGUCCCUUUGUCUCUCUUCAGAUCAACUCCUGUUCUAAAAUUGUGUGAGUUUAAAUGCGAGAAAGGGGAGGAUGAGGAUGUGCAUUGGGAUUUGGAGGGCAAACAAGAGUGUUGCUGAUUAAUUGUUUAAAAGGUUGUUUAUUCUUGUUCAGUUUCUAACUGAAAAUUAAUAAAAGUUAUUACAUAUUCUUCAAUGCAGCCUGUGAAAUCACUUAGUAUGACAGAACAAACAAACACCUAUCCAGGAACAGCUGUUGUAGCAUCUUCAGGAGAUGUAGUCCUUGUUCAAGUGUGGCCACUAAUACCAAUAGUGCUAAGUGAAGGGCUUACUACACUUUAAAUUUCAGUACAGAAAGUAUACACCACCAGAGCUGUAACUCAUACUGCAGCGCAGCAUGAGUUGUGCUGUUGUACACUGCCUUGCAGUGGUGAAACGACCCUUUUUGAAACACUUCAACAUUUUUGUGAGCCCAUGAUAAUGUUCUUUGUAUUCUGUCAACGGGAUGGAAAAGAGACUUUUUCAGAACAAAAGGCAUGGAUUGAAGUAGAGGCACAACAGAUGGGCUCUCUACCUAUGCUGGAUAAUUCCUUGAUUUUCUGCAGCCAAGAGGACAGUAAGCUUUCCUAGAGGAGAAAACUAGGGACUUGUACGAGGGCCAGACAUCAGCAGAAUGGCCCUUUGCAGAAGAAGUGCAAUGUUCAGGCAUUCCCCACCGCAGGCCAAUAAACAAGAAGCAAAGUCAGAACAGAAACAAAUUUCAAGGUAUCAAUUAAACUGCUGGAAAAACAAGCGUAUCAGAAACCGAUUUUGCAAACUAAACUUUUACAACUUUGAAUGGAAAUAAUAUUGGUUGUCCUCUUGGUUUUAACUGUGUUCUCCCAUAUGCAUUUGUGUUUUUCAGUUUCAGUGAAUUGUUCACCACUGCGUAUAAUAAAAGCACUUAGACUUACCUGAGUGUUCCUGAAAGGUUUUAUUAUCUAGCAAAUGCAGGUAACAAAUUUCUCACUGAAUACAUAUUUGACUAUAGUUUGUAUGUAAAACGUUCUCGAGUCACAGUUCCCAACUAAUGAGAUUUUGAUGAGGCAGUCAGCAUAUUUGAGCCAAAUAACUGUUCUGUAAAGGCCGGCCUAGGACACUCUGCAGCAUGCCUUGAAGAAGCUCUAAAGGCAACCUGGGCAGUAGAUGUGGGUGAAAAAGAGCCACAUCUAGAGACUGUGGAAAACUAUUUAUUUCCCAGCUAUCAAAUUCCGUUGCUUGAUUUUUGAGCAAAUUGCUAACAGCUUUGUUUCAAGAUUUCCUACCUAAAGCAGUGCUAAAUAUGACACAGGUGAUCAUUUGGUUCUUUCCUGGAACAAAAAGACAUUCCAAAUGGAAAAGGUGACCUCCAACAAAAACUGUUUGCUUUUUAUCCAUGUUUUUUGUAUUUUGUAAUUGUUAGCCUUUUGCAAAUCAGACAAUACUUUCAACUAGAGAUCAGGUAAUAACUUUCAAAUUCAGUAGGAAAGUACAGCAGCAUCAAAUUAGACUAAUGAGUUUUGGCUAAAGAUUUCUUCUCAAGCAGAGCAUUUUUUUUUUUUUAGUACCUUGACAUUUACAAUUCCUGGUAGCAGCGUUAUUCCAGCCAUUGAAUGCUUGACAAAUUUCUAUGUAACUGAGAAGUAUUCAGAGACAAAGCAAGGCUUAUUUAUAUACUGUGGGUUGAUUAAGAGCAUAGCCUUGCAAUGCUUUGAGUACUUCUUAACAUAACCUUAUGGUGGAACUAUUUUCUUGUUUUAAAGCAAGUUCUACAGUUUAAUUGCAUACUGAUCAUUGGAAACACUAAACUUACACUUCACUUCUGCCUGUUCUGUAUUUUUUUGUAGUUCCUUAGUUGGGGACAUCCUGGCCUUUUAAAUAAAUACAUUUUCUGACCUUGAAAAUUUGUAUAAAGAUCCUGAACUUGGUCACUUGUACCUGGGAAAUGAAUAAUUUCCCAAAUAAAUAUUUUAAAUGUCCAAGGUGAUGAAUUUAGGAGCCUUGUUUAUCUAGCUUUCCCUAGUUCCUUUGUACUUACAAUGAGGUUGUCUCAUAACUGUUUUUUUUUCUUUACAGCUGCUCUAUUCUUGCUUAUCAACCAUAUAUAUUACAAAGAGUAGACGGCGUGAGGAGACAGGGACAGUAGAGUCGCUUAAUUGAAAGGUAGCAGUCUUUGGACCAUGAUGUUGGGCAGAACCAUAAGUUGUAGGCUCCUGUUUUAAAUCACAAAUAUGUUAACAAUAGCCAUUGCCUGCAGCACCACUGGGCAUCUGGACUCCUUACACAGAUGAACCAUUGUAACCCAGCACAGCUUGCCCUGUGGGAAACAGAACUCAAGGUUAGCACCAAAACCUUCAUCAAAUCCAUUACUUCAGUUUGGAUGUUGUGCCUUCAAGUAAAAAGUGAUCGAAAAUUAAAAAUGCAGAGACACAUAUGAAUCACCACACACACACUUCAGGAAAGAGAUGCUGUCUCCUCCGGAUCUAGGGUUAACGCAAGUUUAAAACACUUUUCAUUAAUACUUUGAAGUCUUACACAGACAUCUAUUUGGUUUUAUCACCCUACCCCUCCAUUUGCCUUUUUAUGGAAGCUCUUCUGAUACUGCCAACAGAAAACUGAUAAUGUACUGGAAAUUAACCAGAAUGGAACCCCUUUCCAAGUAGCCUUCCCUCACAAGCCUGAUGAUGUGAUUCAUAGCCCUUAUACAGUUCUUUUCAAUGCCUGAUCUCUACUGGCACUCUAGCAUUUUUGUUGUAAAAAUGGUAAUUCCAAAUUCAUAUCAAAUACAGGAAAACUAUAAAUAGGAACGCUAUUAUUCACUAUCUAUAAUUCGUAUAAAAUCCACAGCCUAAAAACAUUACUUAGUUUGCAUAACACAACAACAGAACUGAGAGAACUCCCAUGAUUACUACUUCAGUCCUAAGCCCAUUCUUUAUCCAGAUUGGAGAAUUAGUUUAUUUCGUACAAAGGUAUUAUGCUUUCAUUUAAUAAAACAAGUGUGUAAAUUAAAGUGAAGAGAUGCAUUAACAUUUUAAUUCUGAAUUUGUUUACAUUUGUCUCUGGUACCCCAGCCUCUGAAAGCUUGUUAUGCUACAUAAAACCCCUAGGGUUGGCAUCUUCUCCCUCAAAACUUGAUUCUCUCUGGAUUUGGGACUACAUUUAAAGGCUUUAUUUUUUCCUGUCAUUAAAUCAAAGGUUUUUGGGGCAGAUUUCCUUGGUGAAAAAAAAAAUGGAAAAAAAGUAGAUUCUAUUUUAAUGUUUUCUUUAAAAAAAGUUAUAUUACGUACUUGAUCUGUUACCCUUAUUGCAUAGGUAUCAGCAAGCACUUGUUUUUGUUGUUUACCUAGAGAAGAACUCCCUAUUUUUUCCACAGAACCAUGCUACGUUUGUAGAACCCAGAAGCUAGAAAAAAUCUUAUUAUUUUUAUAUGAUUUAUGCAGCAAGAGAUGAGGGCCUCGCCAGCUCCUCCCCGAGUUGGUGUUUCCAGAAGAAUUGUGCUUUAAACUGUACCCAUUUUGCUCAGCUCAGUACAUUAAAAGUAGACAGGGUAAAAAGCAGCUUUAACUUUUAAAAACAUGAGAAUCACGACUGAAAACAAUUAGUUAUGAAGCCAGCACUCAUGGCUGACAUUUUAGCAAUCUCUGCAAUACAGUAAAAUACUCUGGAGCACUUUAUCUACCUAGUAGCUGAGAGACGUCCACUUCCAGUAUUUAAACUUGUUGAGGAUUAAAAUUGGUUCACUCCUGGAAUUUCUAUCUUGUCAGUCAGCAGAGAGGAGAUUUUUCAGAUUUUUCAUGGCUUUCAUCGGCAGAGGUUCAGAAAUCCCCUUUGUAGCUUAUUUUAUUUACAAAAACACUUCAAAGAUUGUUAGAAAGACUUUUUCCCAGUGGAUGAAUAUUCAAAAACGUCCAGCUGAGGAAGAACGGUACAGUUUUGUUUUUGGACUGCAAACAGAUGUUUGCUUGUAAAUAUUUUUACUGUUAUACAAACUGAACGUGUUUUUAGGGAUGAGGAUCUGUUCCUGAGCAAGAUUUCCACUGAUAGCGAUCUAUGGCCCUGAUCCUACUCUACAGUUAGUAGGAAUUUUAUCAUCGACCACCAUGGAAGAGCUGUUUUAAGUGCCAGCAUUGUUAGACACACAUAGCAUAUUAGAUACAGCUGGGGAAAAGAACUUAAUCUCUUCCAGAAUACAUUACAUCAUUUUGUAACUUGUUGCAACGUCAUCCGUUCUAGACAUUUGCAUAGCACCGAUCACCAACAGUAUUAUCGCUAAGGCACUGGCCCGGUGCUCAGAUGACACGGGUUCUGUCUCCAUAGCUGUGGUCCGUGUCCUGUGUAAUCAUAUUUAGACCUUUUGUUUUCCCUGGUACAUCAUUUUUCACAUUUGAAAAUAGGAUAUAACACAAAACAGCCUACUUUUUCUACAGGAAUAUUGUGCCACAACUAAUUACAAGGUGCUCAGAUUUUAAAGUGAUGAACAUCAAUAUUCUAUGCAUAGAUUUACUGGUAAAUUAUGUUGCAGGUAUCAAUUAUGUGCAACAUACUGGAACAGACAUAGCUUCAGUUCCUCUAGAGCUAAUGACAAUACUCUAGGGUAAAUCCUAUCCUCAAUGCCAUGAUUCAAAAUAGUUUUUAGAUAAAUGAAGAUAAGCCCUUAGGGCUCCUAUCUCUGACAACUGAUCCAGCAUGCCUUCAUGCUUUUGCAUCAAAGUCUGCUCCUAACAACUUCAGAGCUCCCGUUUCAGCCUCUAAGAGAGCAGUUUUUAAUACUUUUGGAAGCAGCUGAACCUUUUUUUAGUCUAUAGUCAAUUUAUCUCUCUACAUUAUUAAAAAAAAAAAAAAAAAAACUUUAGGAGAUAUCACUAAUCUGCUCCAUCACACUGGUUGCUGAAUGUGUACUGAUGUACAAAUUGCUAAAAGUUCUUGGGUUGAAAUAAGUUACUGCAAAUGCACAGUAGCUGAUUUUGAAACCACAACAUCUCUACGAUUUAUUAUUAUUUUUACAAAAUACCCAAAGUGAUCAGACCAUAUUGUAGGUUACUGGCUUGCCAAAGGUUAUGUUUUUAAAUCAAAACCAUUUCUGAGUUACAGAAGUGCCAAAAACAAUCUUGAACCAGUUUUUUGUUUUUUUUUAAACCAACCCCCAUCCAACAAAACAGUUGUAUAACUUAAAACAGAAACAAGAGUUUGUGUUGGAAACUGUUUAAAAACCAACCCACCAAAUCAUGCUUGAGCAGAAGCCUUGUAUGGCAAAGAUAUAGCUUAGGGCAAUUUAGUGCCAAGAUAUAGACCCGCUAUGGGUUUAUAAUGGAAAUACUGACACAACCUCAACUAUAGUGAUGCAAAUGUGCCCUAAAACACUGUAUUUGCUUUUUAUUAAUAAAGUGGUAGUGUUUACAUUUGCAGGUAUCUUACACUUCAGCAUCACGAUGAAUACUGAGUAGAAUGAGCAAAGUUUUGGCUGUAAGGUCAGAAGUUUCCAAACAGAUGAAUGAGACAGAAGUGAAAGUCCUCAAUCAUGAAAACAAGAAGUUCAAAUAAAUAAAUAAAACAAAACUAGGAAAUAUGGGUAAGCAUUAGGUUGGAAUGGUUCAAUUAACUGCAAAUUAUGGCCACUAAAUUAGAAAGACAUAAGAAAACACAGUAACUUAUUAAAUAGCAAGCAUUAAAGCUUUAUGUUUUUUGUAUUAAAAAAAAAAAAAAGCUGUUAAAAAUAAGACUUGCAUUUACCAGGCCACCAAGCUGCAUGGACUAAUAAAGAGACUAACAAAGGCAAUACUGAGACAUUAAGACACACACACACUCCAUACUUGUGCAACUCAACCAUAUUCAAAACAAUUGCCUUUAUCCUCACUUAAGAAAGGAAAAAAAGUCCCCUAAGCAUUUCUGUUCAUAUAAAGCUUUAUAGGAAGGUUUCUUAAACUGUUACUUUCUUAUAUAGCUCAUUGUUAUUAUGUACCCUUCUCAUUAUUAGAGGAAGAAGCUGAUUAUUUUUUAUUUUUUAAUGGAGAUGCUUUGUUUCUCUCAAUGAGAGAUUACAUUCCUUACACCACUACAGGUUUUCCCCAUUUAUAAAUUUGGUGUUUACACCAUCUCCUCCUAGGCUUAAGAAAAUAAGGGUUGGCACUCAAUUAAAGAUUUUGGCUCCUGUAACUGAAAUUAAGGCUCACAAUGAAUUUCCUUUCCACUAAGUGUCCCCCAUUUUUACCCAUAGAAAACACCAGCCCUUUGCCUACAGGCACUGGAUACAUUCUUAAAUCAAAGAGGGCCAUUUUCGGUCAUUCUCUCCCACAGUUCUAUGAAGUUUAGGUGGCAACUUCCUAAACGUGUGAACAGGAAAGAUCCUUCUUCAAAAAUGAGUAUCAACUGCAGAUGAAUUUUUUAGAAAAUUUAGUGUCUUCUGAAAGAUCACUACUAAUGUUGAAUUGAGAGAGAUUGGGACAUUAACUCCAUCAAGUCCCCGACUGCUCUUUAUAUAUCUGAAAAUGGACGAGGUGAUUUAUUUUCAUUUAAAAGUUUAGCCACAAAAGCAAUGAAAACUCACAAUCCUGAACAGUUUCAGUUCUUAGUAUUAAAGGCAUCUGACACCUGAAGCAAAUCUAGCUGCACAGACACCACUGACCACACCCUAAUUUUAAUUUAAACUGGACCUUUUCCCAAAAAAGAAACUUAACAUAGGAUCUUGGAUGGAGGGAAGCUACUGUGAAAGGCAAAGAGACAAGUAUUUUUGUUUGUUUGUUUGUUUGUUUUCCUUUUAAAGUCACUGCAUUAAGAUCCAGAUCAGUUUAGGGGUGUAAAUGAAGAGGAAACAGGGAUGCUUGAGUAAUAUAGGCUAACACUGUUCUAGAUGUGUUAUUACAGUUGUAAUUUCUGACUCUGUACAAAUUGUACACGUAGGUUUAGACACAUGAAAAAGUAACACACUCACAGAGACAUAAAACACCUAGGUAUAAAAUAUAAAGCAGUGUAGUAGUUACUAAAAUUACAUGCUCUCUUAUUGCUACAGUGAUUUUUGCUCUUUUUCUUUUUACUGUACCACAUGUUGUUCUAAGCAUAUAAUUUGCAUAAAUUAUUCAAGUUUAAGAAAAAUCCACACAUCUUCACUUUAAGCUACUUAUAUAGUUAAUAUAAAACAAAAAGGUUCUAAAGUAUCUCUUUAUUAAAAGAGAAAUAAAAAUGUCAUUUGAAACUGGAAUUCAGUGGCCAAAUCCAAGGGCAGUGCACACCUUGUCAUUCUGGUAGUAUCAUGCCCACGCAGUGUAAGUGGAGGUUGGUGGGGUAUUUGGCCCAGUCUAGAGAUGGUCACCAGACCUGCAUGAUGCCCUAUGUGUUUGUUAUUGUUCUGUUUUUGUCUUCAGCAAAAAGGACUAUGAAUGACCAAAGACUAACAUUUAUAAUUUGUAGCAAAAUUUGGUUUAUGUAGAAACAAGCCAUGUUUUGCAUUUGGAUAGAGAUUUAAAUGAAUUAAAGCUAAAAUUAAAAAGCAUGAUGCUGCAACAUCUGGUCACUUGUUGAAGACCUCACUUUUAAAGUGGUUAAGUUUGCACAAUUUGUACUUUUUUCUUUUUUUUUCUCCUUUUUUUCUUUUUUUUCCUUUUUUUUCUUUUUUUUACUAAACAGUAUUUUUCCUUCUUUUAUAAACCAGAAAAACUAAACUACAGAUAAAUUUUCCCUACCUUGAGCUAAUGCUGCAGAUAGGGUUGACAAAGCUGUACAGCGCAAUCAAACAUACUUACAUCUUAGCUCAUUGUACAGGUACAGCCAUAAUCAAGGCACAAAGAUCUUCUACAAGUUAUUUUUUUUUCAAUAAAGUUGUACAAAAUAAUACAUUUUACAGUCUGUACAAGAAUAAUAAUCCAGCAGUAAAAUAAAAAAUGAGGGGAGGGAAGAAGAAAAAGAAGGGAAAGACUGUGAGGACUACAGUCCAGAUAAUGAUUUUUAUAGCAGACGGGAUCAUCAGUGGACAAACUGAAAACAGUGUGUGGUUAACUCUUUCUGCAAUCACAGGCCAUAUGCAGUUCAAUUCAUAGAUGUCCAUGGCUGUCUUAAGACCACCAAGACUGGAUUUAAAAAUACCCUUCUGAAAGGUAGCAGUUGGUUUUUGCACUGUCUAGGUCUGUUGUAGAAUUGUCAGUAUUUCCGUUCAAAGCCACAUUACAGUCAGAGAACCAAACUCAAGUGUGUCUUCAAACUUGGUCUGUGACUUGGCACCUUCUUUGUCUGAUGCAGUGAAUGAUACAAAGUGGAGAUCACGGGUUAUAUGAUUAUGCCCACAACAGUGCUAAAUUACCUAGUUUUCUCUCCCCAAUUUUUGUUUUAUGCUUUAAAUUUUAAUCCCCAAUUCUUUCAGGUGCUCCACAUUCAGGACUUUUAAUUAAUUAGUUUUUAUUUCUUUUUUUUUCCUUUCUUUUUUCGUUAAUAACAGUGUUAGGGAGUCCUCAUGGAAAUGGCCUUUUAAGUGUUAGGGACCAUCUCAAACUGUCCGAGGGGUACAGAAGCAAGCUUAGAAGUGCUGCUAUCGUCCAGCAAGGAGAAAAAGUUGAGGGGUGCAAAUCAAUGGGAGAUUCAAACAGUUCUCUUCCACCCUUCGUGGGCAAGGGUGUUUCUUUCUUUUUUAAUAAGGAAUAAGGAGUCCAAAACACAGAAAAAAGUGCUCUCCAUCACAACAACUCGUAUUGGCGAAGGUGCAUGCGCUGAAUAAUGUCCCGACAGUCAUUGAAAACCCUCCGGAUGUUCUCUGUAUCCACUGCACACGUGAAGUGAGGAUAGCAAUAGUGCCUUCCAUCUCCACUUGCUGUGCUGAUUCU